rnacentral:rRNA from 1 species
AGUGAACGCUGGCGGUAGGCCUAACACAUGCAAGUCGAACGGCAGCACAGUAAGAGCUUGCUCUUACGGGUGGCGAGUGGCGGACGGGUGAGGAAUACAUCGGAAUCUACUUUUUCGUGGGGGAUAACGUAGGGAAACUUACGCUAAUACCGCAUACGACCUACGGGUGAAAGCAGGGGAUCUUCGGACCUUGCGCGAUUGAAUGAGCCGAUGUCGGGUUAGCUAGUUGGCGGGGUAAAGGCCCACCAAGGCGACGAUCCGUAGCUGGUCUGAGAGGAUGAUCAGCCACACUGGAACUGAGACACGGUCCAGACUCCUAAGGGAGGCAGCAGUGGGGAAUAUUGGACAAUGGGCGCAAGCCUGAUCCAGCCAUACCGCGUGGGUGAAGAAGGCCUUCGGGUUGUAAAGCCCUUUUGUUGGGAAAGAAAAGCAGCAGGUUAAUACCCCGCUGUUCUGACGGUACCCAAAGAAUAAGCACCGGCUAACUUCGUG